AUACGGAGGGGGUUAGCGUUGUUCGGAAUUACUGGGCGUAAGGCGCACGUAGGCGGAUUGGAAAGUUGGGGGUGAAAUCCCAGGGCUCAACACUGGAACUGCCUCCAAAACUAACAGUCUAGAGUUCGAGAGAGGUGAGUGGAAUUCCAAGUGUAGAGGUGAAAUUCGUAGAUAUUUGGAGGAACACCAGUGGCGAAGGCGGCUCACUGGCUCGAUACUGACGCUGAGGUGCGAAAGCGUGGGGAGCAAACAGGAUUAGAAACCCUUGUAGUCC
rnacentral:rRNA from 1 species